AGCGGCGGACGGGUGAGUAACGCGUAGGCAACCUGCCCCAUACAGAGGGAUAGCCUCGGGAAACCGGGAUUAAAACCUCAUAACGCGAGGAGUUCACAUGGACUACUCGCCAAAGAUUCAUCGGUAUGGGAUGGGCCUGCGUCUGAUUAGCUAGUUGGUGAGGUAACGGCUCACCAAGGCGACGAUCAGUAGCCGACCUGAGAGGGUAAUCGGCCACAUUGGAACUGAGACACGGUCCAAACUCCUACGGGAGGCAGCAGUGGGGAAUAUUGCACAAUGGGCGAAAGCCUGAUGCAGCAACGCCGCGUGAGCGAUGAAGGCCUUUGGGUCGUAAAGCUCUGUCCUUGGGGAAGAAACAAAUGACGGUACCCUUGGAGGAAGCCCCGGCUAACUACGUGCCAGCAGCCGCGGUAAUACGUAGGGGGCGAGUGUUAUCCGGAAUUAUUGGGCGUAAAGAGUGCGUAGGUGGCCAUGUAAGCGCGGGGUGAAAGGCAAUAGCUUAACUAUUGUAAGCCUUGCGAACUGUGUGGCUUGAGUGCAGGAGAGGAAAGUGGAAUUCCUAGUGUAGCGGUGAAAUGCGUAGAUAUUAGGAGGAACACCAGUGGCGAAGGCGACUUUCUGGACUGUAACUGACACUGAGGCACGAAAGCGUGGGGAGCAAACAGGAUUAGAUACCCUGGUAGUCCACGCC
rnacentral:rRNA from 1 species